rnacentral:rRNA from 1 species
AACGAACGCUGGCGGCGUGCCUAACACAUGCAAGUCGAACGCGAAAAUCCGCAAGGAUGAGUAGAGUGGCGCACGGGUGAGUAACACGUAAAUGAUCUGUCCAGGACACCGGGAUAACCGUUCGAAAGGAUGGCUAAUACCGGGUAAGCCCACGGGUUAGGAAUUGUGGGAAAAGGGUUGGGACUGUAACAGGCCAAUCGGUUUUGGAGGAGUUUGCGGCCCAUCAGAUAGUUGGCGGUGUAAAAGACCACCAAGGCUAAGACGGGUAGCUGGGCUGAGAGGAUGAUCAGCCACACUGAAACUGAGACACGGUACAGACUCCUACGGGAGGCAGCAGUGGGGAAUCUUGCGCAAUGGACGAAAGGCUGACGCAGCAACGCCGCGUGGGUGAUGAAGGUCUUCGGAUCGUAAAGCCCUGUCGGAGGGGAAGAUGCUUUUACUGUCUAAUCGAUAGUAGAGGUGACGGUACCCUCAAAGGAAGCACCGGCUAACUCUGUGCCAGCCGCCGCAGUAAGAC